CUCCACCAGGUUUCUGUGAUGCCCCAGAACCCCAGACCACCAGCAUGGAUCCCUGAGCUCCUCUCUCAUUUGUGGGGACAGGGAGAAGGAGAAGGCAAAAGGAGUCUGCUGAGUCUCACCACAUAUCCCAACAGAGGAAAGGAAGCAGGAGGUGCAGAGGAAGAUCCUCUCCUGGCAGGCACAGCUGAAGCCGUGGUGGCUCUGUAUGAAGGCUGCAGGAAAACAGCAAGAAAAGAGCUCAGAAAAUUCUGGAAAGCUUGGCAGGGAGCACAAACACCCAUCUGCAGCUGUCACUGGUAGCAGAGCCGAUCAUCUGGAGGGGAACAGGCUGCUCUCACACACUCACUCAAGGAGCAAAGAGUUGCUUUAGUUCUGAGUGGAGCUACACAAACCAUCGGACACCUCAUUAAUCUUGUGUUUAAUUCUCUGCAUGAGGCUCACUGGAAGAAGGAAUAAAGUCUGUAUUUUAAUUA